CGGAUUGCAGGCUGCAACUCGCCUGCAUGAAGCUGGAAUUGCUAGUAAUCGCGGAUCAGCAUGCCGCGGUGAAUACGUUCCCGGGCCUUGUACACACCGCCCGUCACACCAUGAGAGUCGGGAACACCCGAAGUCCGUAGUCUAACCGCAAGGAGGGCGCGGCCGAAGGUGGGUCCGGUAAUUGGGGUGAAGUCGUAACAAGGUAAC
rnacentral:rRNA from 1 species